AACCUGCAGAUCAGACCCUGCAGACCCACAUGAAUGUCGCUAUAUAAUCGCUUAUUUUCUCUUCUUGGGUUGAACACUUUGUCGUGAGAGAACACUGCCAGCAUGUCCAGGAUCGUAGGUGUCGCUCUCCUGCUCAUCAUUCUAACGGACGACUUCCAUGAAAGCAAAGCUUCACACAUUAAAUAUAAUGUGUCCAAAGAGCACAUCCGCAAGUGUGGGUGCAGAGUUUUUCCAAGUGGGAAAAUACGGUGUCGCUCCCCUCUCUUUCGUGCAAAAUAUGUUGAGAUACAGGAUCGUGUUAAAUGCUUCUGCAAGUUUCCAGAGUUUCAAGCUGCCUGCAAAUCAUCAUUUCUCAGCACCCCACUUUAAAGGAUGCUCAUAGAUAGCUCAUUCUGCAUCCUUUCACUGCACAUCAUGUGGGGUUAAAUCAGCACAUCUCUGCAGGACACCACAGCAUCCCAUCAUCUAUACACACAUAAAAAUGUGCAUUUAAAUUUAGAAAGCAUUUCAUAAGUGAUAAAGAAUGACUUUCUUUAAACAGAGAGAUGGCUUUUGUUCAUGAAUGUUUGAAUCAUAGACUAUAAAAGGAGCUUGGCAUUAGUUUGAUAUUUUGGUAAAUAGACUCACUUUACGCUGAUAGUUACAUAAAAAGAUUGAUAGCACUAAUGUCUGUACAGUAAUUAAUCUACAGUAGGGCUGUCAAACGAUAAUCUUUCAUUAGAAUUAAUCAUUUAAUUUCAAUUGUAAAUCUUGAUUACUCGCAUGUUUGAAAUUCAAUUUUUUCCCCAUUUCAAAACUGUUUUUGUUGUGCUUUUAUUUUGAAUUGUUGUACUGUUUUAAGUAGGGCUGUCAGCAUUAACUAGUUAAUCUGGAUUAAUUGAGGUCUGAGAUUAUAGCAUUAUUUUUUUUUAUACCAUGCUAUUUUGUCCCUUUAGGCGCACCGUAGAUAAGACUCCACAGUGUCUCCGUGUAGUCACAGUGAUGGUAAAGAAUGACACUGCCGCGUCUUUGAAUGUCUCAUUUCAUAAAAAAAACUCCCAGAUAGCUCAGCUGACCAGUCAAAAGUAAUAUUCACCUUAUGACUUCAAACAUUUCACUUUUCUACCAUUCCUUUUAGCGUUUUGACUUUAGUUUAUGAUCUUUAAUGAGUUACUUUUUCAGCUAAGUUAAUGUAAUAACCCUCAAUCUACCAGAAGGUCCUUAUUUAAAAUUUAUAAAAGCAGGGUUGAAAUCAAACCACAAGUAUAGUACUCGCACACAGGGAGACGUUGUGAUGGCUUUCAUACGGUCGGCCUAAAGGGGAAAAAGUAGCAAGUGAUUAAAACAAAAUUGAAUGCAUUCAUUUCUGAACUUAAAUGCAUCACGAUCUAAGCAUUAAUGCUGACAUCCCUAAUCCACAGUUAGCAGCAGGUUAGCUUAGCUCAAAGAUUAACAAAUGGUAAAACCAUUAGACUGCUACAGUCUACCAAAGUUCAUCUAUUUUAUAUGUCAUUUAUUUUGUAUAUCGAAAGAAAAAACUGCACAAUGUCAGAAGCUAAUAAUCUUUACCCUUCUGUCUUUAGCUAACACACUGCUAGCUUGUACAGAUGUAAACCCAGUAUAAAUGUACAGUAUCUUUCUCAUUUUACUCUGAGAAAAUGUUUCCCCAAAUGUUGAAAUGUUGCCUCAAGAAUUAACUUAAACGAUUGUGAAACUAAUUACAAUACAUGUAAGGACAUGACAUUCAGUGUUCAGCCAUAUUUUUUCUGAUUGUGAAGUCUAGCUGAAUAAAGAUUGUUAGCCCUUUAAAAAGUUGUAUCUUCAAUAUAGAUAAAAGCUGAAUAUUAACUACUGUAUAUUGAAGAAAAGGGUUGACUGUUUGUACAUAUUUGGCUGGAUGUGAUACCAUAUACCUAGCAUAAAUGUGCCCUUUGCUAAUCCUGUGUACGAUCAUCUGUGUCAGCUACAGCCCUCAUGGAAGAAGAGGCAGAAUCUGCUUUAGAGGGGCAGGAUUCAUUCCAGUGGGAAUUUCCAGUUUAGUUCACCGCAAUCAGGAUAAUCAGACAUCAGUUAUCAGAGAAUCAGCGUUUUUUUACGCUUCACUGUUCAUAUACAGUAAAGCAGUCUCUAGAAGUUGUGGUGCAAUUUAAAGUGGUGAAACUCUAAGAAGCAGAUCAACAGCACAGCUCACAUUUACAUCAGUGUUAGGCCUGUGUGUGUUAGUGACACAUAAAAACAAGUUCUCUGUGAUGACAUGUUGUUGUGUUAAGUCCAGGGGUGUAACUUUCAGGAAUUCCUGGUGACACACCUGCAGGGUAAUUCCUGAUUAAGUGGAAUAUACCUUGACACCGAGAGCUAACAAUAUAAAGCCAGGUUGACUGAAAUUAUGUGAAGGCAAAAACUUAUCUGUCACUGAGA